rnacentral:lncRNA from 1 species
CCUCUUGGGAUGCUUACCAAGCACAUCUGUGCACAUCAUGAGAUGCAAUAAAAAUUGCAAUGACAAUGCUAGACAAACACCCACACACCCACUGCACAAGACGCUGGGCAGAUCCAGUGCCAUCCUGCUUGGAAGCAGAUACUACGUAACUGGGCUCUGUGCUGCCAUUGUUUUUCAGAUUAUGAGACAAAGAGGAAAUAAAAAUGAGAAUCUCUGAAAUACUCAGGCUACUCUCUUCACUUUAGGGAGGAGAGGGUAGCCAAUACAAAUUUCUCAUCAAGCACCUUCAUAAAACUUAAUCCCGAAGUUUUUCUUUGACAAAACGCACAGGUUGGAUAGCUAUUCUCUCCCCAUUGGUUUUUGAGGUAUGGGCCCAUGUAAACAUGACAAGUAGCCCCCAAUAAGCCAACAUUCAACAGCAGUUCCUCAAAUCUUGCUGCCAGCAGCGUUAGAGUGAUCCAUAUAAUUACAAAUUAGAUCCAUUUACUGGGGUCUGGUUGCCUAUGCAAGAGCUUGCCUUCCAUAUAUAAACAUAAUUGUGAUAAAUCUGGACUCAACAGCCAUGGGGCAUUCUGAAGAUGAUAUCUAGAGGUUGCCAUGACAACUCCCUAGAAUUCCUGCUGUCUUUUCAUGGUAGAGUUCCUAGCUAAAGCCUGGAAGGUAUCUGAAAUAAAUCAUCAAAAGGUGGGACAGCUGGAAUUGGUCCAUGGAAGAAAUCCAAGUAUGCGGUUCAUAAGUCCUGUGGCUUCCAAGAAACUUCCCUUCCUCUUGGUGUACCUGGGAGCUCUCUGCCUGACUCAUCCUCUCACCAGUAUGCUGGGGCCACCUAGAGCAAGGGCAACAACCUCUUGCUGUCCCCUGUGUGUCUUUACAGGCCAAAGGAUUUUCUUCCUGUUAACAUGCUUCUCGAGGGCAAGGAGAAGUUCUGAGGAGGAGUUCCAGUCCCCAGCCCUUGCCGUGAAAAAUUACAUACAUUUUUCUCCACUGAUUUAUUUAUCUCUGAUGAUUUAUUGGGAUUAUUUUGGCCUCUGUCAUAAUCUUUUUAGAAAACAAAUGCCCAAGAUUCAAAAAUAUCAAAAAGAGCAAAAAGGAUAUUUAAUGAAAAGGACCCUGGCCCCAGUUCCCUUGCCCAGAAACAAGUAAGAUUACCAAUUGUUUAUCCUUCCAG